rnacentral:misc_RNA from 1 species
GAUGAAGAACGCAGUGAAAUGCGAUAAGUAAUGCGAAUUGCAGAAUUUCCGUGAGUCAUCGAAUCUUUGAACGCACAUUGCGCCCGCCAGUAUUCUGGCGGGCAUGCCUGUUCGAGCGUCAUUUCAACCAUCAAGCCCCAGGCUUGUGUUGGAGCCCUGCGGCUGCCGCAGCCUCCCAAAACCAGUGGCGGGCUCGCUAUCACACCGAGUGCAGUAGUUUACUCUUCGCUCAGGGCGUGUGGCGGGUGCUAGCCGUAAAACCCCCAACUUCUCAAGGUUGACCUCGGAUCAGGUAGGAAUACCCGCUGAACUUAAGCAUAUCAAUAAGCGGAGGA